UACAGAGGUGGCAAGCGUUGUUCGGAAUUACUGGGCGUAAAGGGCGCGUAGGCGGCCUUGUAAGUCUCGUGUGAAAGCCCUCGGCUUAACUGAGGAUCUGCACGGGAUACUGCGAGGCUUGAGUUCGGGAGAGGAAAGCGGAAUUCCAGGUGUAGCGGUGAAAUGCGUAGAUAUCCGGAGGAACACCAGUGGCGAAGGCGGCUUUCUGGACCGACACUGACGCUGAUGCGCGAAAGCUAGGGGAGCAAACGGG
rnacentral:rRNA from 1 species